UCGUUUUUACUUUAUUAUAUCUUAUGAAUUCUCGGAGAUUGUAUGUAUAGAUCUAUUGGCACAGAGUCUGAACGGUUAAUCUUGUGGCUAAGGCGGUUAGGUCGGUAGUGUUUGCUAAUAAUGGUUGUUCUAUGGUACGACUGGGUGUUGUAUGGGAAGGGAAUUGUAGGCGAGUUUAGAAUGAUCAGAGAUUGGCUAGAUAUUACAUUUUGGUAGGUGAUGUGUGUGUGUUUUUUCAAUUUAUGUAUGGAUGUAUGUCUACUACUAUUAAUAUCACUUGUGAACUUCAUAUGGGG
rnacentral:lncRNA from 1 species